rnacentral:tRNA from 3 species
GCUGGCGUAGCUCAGUUGGUAGAGCGGCUGAUUUGUAAUCAGUAGGUCGCGGGUUCGAUUCCUGCCGCCAGCACCA